AAACAAAACAAAAAAAACCCCAAGAAACCUGAAAGGAAUGAAAACAUGGGGCUUGUGAGAGGAAGGAAGAGCUCUAGUGGUGAAUACUGCAGGCAGAAUGACAGAGGCUUGUGCUCUGUUCCUCACUAAGGUUGUUUGAGCUCUGCAUGCAAGGAAAGAAUGUGAAUCUCCCCUGGCCUGAGCUGUUGGUGUGGAAUUUGCCACUGUGGAUCACCCUGACAGCAGGGCACCCCACUCCUGACACACUUUCCAGAGAGGUGGCAGCACUGCAAGGACACCUGAUGGGCUCUGCCAAAGUUAAUAAUCUUAUUUCCUUUCUCCUUACCAUUGCCUGCCUGGGUUCUGACUGUCCCUGUCUCUGGCUGACUGUCUCUGACUCUCUUUGGCUAUUCUGGCUGUCCCUGGCUGUCUGUGUCACCCAGGAGCUGCCAAGGUCCUGGCUGCUUAGGGACACAUCUUCCCAGCAGUGAUUCCAGUGCCAUGGCCACUCUGUGAGUUUUCUUUCCUAAUUAUGGGGAGCCACUAUCACUGAGUUAUUGCAGUCACCCAACCCUGUCUCUUUUUUCCUGUCUGCUGCAGUCCCUCUUGAGAGCUGCCUGGAUUCAGGGAGAGUUUUGCUGUUCCUUGAGGCAGGAGGUGAGUGUGGGACAGAGGGAUGGAUGCUGCUUUUCACUCCCUGGAAAGAUGUGGCUGCCCAAGGCCAGGCAGGUAGGAAUGAUAAUGGCAAUAAGGAGGUAUCUGGACCCUGUGAUUCUCUGGUUAUUUAGAAUGCAUAAUUGCAGUUUGUUUAACACCAAAGGAUACCCGAUCAUUCACAGGAAAGAAGCCAGUGGUGGGGAUCAAUAUUUCUAUUGCUCUGCUGGAAAAACAGCAGAAAAGGAAUGGCUCUUUAAUGAUUACAGCAGAGCAGAAGAAGUCUGUGCUUAAGGCUGUUUGUAGCAGGGGCCAGCAGAGGGUUUGUGCAGUGCUGGCUCUCAUUUCAGACUUGAGAUUCAGUGAAUGAGUGUGGGUGAUGGACCCUGCACUCCAGAUGUGGCUUGGCUGGAGACAGGGCAGAGAACAGCUCUGCCAUCCUUGAUCCAGAGAGAAAAAUUAACUCACCCUGAAGAUAAAAUAAAGAACAGUAACUUGAGUAUAUCUCAGCUGAGCAUUUCAGCCUCCAUUUUCUGCUCAGACCAUACUGAUGAAUAUUUUUUCUGCAGGCAUAAGAGUUACCAAGAGCUGACUUCACUUGGCACAGCCAGAGCUGGGUUUGCUCUGGCACCUGUGGGAUGCUGUAGCAGAAGCACAAUCUGUUUUACCCAAGUGUUUAGCUGAAAGUUUUUGUUUCCAAUUAAAUAUUUGUUGAGCCCUUCUUGGAGAGUCUUGCAGAAGGAGUAGGAGGAAGUGACUCUCCAAAUGGGAUUCUGUGUAGGAAUUCUUUAUUAUAGGCACUGACAAGGAAUAUGGCUCAGAAUUAGCUAUAACUGAGCUUGUACUUGUUUUUGUCAUUAAUCAAUAUCCUGAUUUCUCAUCCAGAGCUUGCAACUUGUAUUUAAUUAUUCUGCCAUGCCCUGUGAAACAAAAGACUGAGAAUUGUCCCAAAAUGAGAGUAUUUUCUAAGUCGGUUUGGAUGAGGUGGCCAAGCCUGGCUCACCAUCUGUGUUUGCACUGUCCUGAGCAGCAGCCUGGGCUGACUGAACACGUGUGAAUCUUGUGCUGAACAUAUCCAACAGACCACUGAGUAGUUUUGAGAGAAAAAAGAAAUGAAGGAUCUCUACAUCAUAAAUCAACACUGGGGGAGCUGGGACAGGUUUUCUCUUUGGGUGUCCAGAAAUGCAGGCUCGGCUCCCAAGGCAAUCAGGGCACCCCAGUGCUCAGUCCCACAGGUUUGCCUGGCACAAGACUGACCUCCAGUGGCACUGACUUGUGUGGUUGGGCUGUGAAUCUGGGGAAGAUGUGUGCAAAUGCUCUUUAAAGGCCACACGUUCAGUUUUCAGGGCAGAUAUUUGCUCCUUGCCUUCUUCAGACCUUUCCAGCAUAAGCACAGAUGUUGGGGACAGUCACAUGCUGAGCUGGUGAGGUGGGAAAUUCUGAAAAUGUUCUCAUGAAAUAGGAAGGAGAUAUCCUACCUAUGGCUUCUCUCCCUGCAUGUGGUGAGAAAGAAAGGGGUAAAAGAGAAUGGGAAGAAGCUGAAACUUUUGGGGCAGAGUGAAUUUCACUGUGCAAAUGAAAUUCUUCCGCCUGUGUUUGAGUUACUUAAUCCCAGGACAGUGCAUGAUUUGCAGCUCUACCUCUGCAGGGUAAGGGGGAAACUCAUCCCAAUUUAGCCUGUGGUUCAAUUCCCAGGGUGGCAAGCUGCUGGCAAGCUGCUGAAUGAGGAGGAACCACCUGCAUCAUCACUCAGGCUUUCCUUCCUUUCCAGAAAUCAACCACGCAUUCCUCUUUUAAUGGUGGAAUUACAGCUCUCUGAUUCCUCUAAAAUUGACACAGAGCCUUAUAUUUUCUAUUGCUGGUGGGAGUUUGGUUCUCCCUAUGUCUUUGCAGAGGGUCUCUGUGUUUCAUGUGUCCUCCACACAGUUUUAUUGGUGGCUCUCUCUGACAACACUUCCCUCACUGUGUGCAUACAGAUCUCUCCUCAUCCUUAGUGCAGCACCUUAGUGCACUUUCUGCUAGUGAGGACUCACUUGGUGGAUUUUUGGAAGAGGUGUCCUGGCUGGAUGAUACCUACUGGAGCUCCAACAGAAGGAAGAAGAUGUUUCCUGUGCCAGUGGAGAACUUCUGACUGUGAUUUGGAAUGAGCUCUUGGUGUCCUGCACCUGAACAUUUGGGGAAUGUCCAUCUUCUGCCGCUCACAUGGAAUCAGAGGGAGAAACAAGAAGGAUUUCUGGAGCAUGGACCAGGCUUAGGUCUAAUUUUGCAAAAUAUUAAUUGAUGCAAUGUAAAGGAUCCUUCAAGAGCCUCCAGAGAUCUGGGAUAGUUUAACCCAUUCACUGCCUCGAGGAUCUGCUCGUUGCUGUGGAUUUCUGGCAGAUAAUCUGUGUUUUUUCACUGGGUAAGUAAAAAUUGCUUCUGUAUAAUUUCAGGUGACAGUAAAUAUCAGCCAGCACAACAAAAUUAUAUAUACACCAGCAGAGAUUUGGUUGAGUUUACUGCGUGUUAUUUAAUAAGUUCAUUUGCUUCCUUUUCUUGAUAUGGGAUCAGAUCUUUGUAAACUCUAAGUUACAUUCAGUGUGAUAAAAUGGGAUUUAUAUUGUAUAAAUGUCUGUAACUUAUGAGAAGAAAGUGGUCAUCAAGUCACUGUGACUAGCAGUGCAUCUCAGUCUUGUGCUUAAAAGGUAGUUUUAUAACACUGUGAUCCUGAUUGUUUUGUCCACACAUUUACAUGAUGGAUACUUGUCAAAAGUAGUCCAAAUUUUUCAAGAGAGAAUGAAUAUAAGCUCUAAGGUAGCCUGGUGAAACAAGGCUGUAGUUAUAUGAAGAAAUGAUUGCUGAAUUUUCUAGCUGCAGCAAUAAGGUAAGAUUUCAGAUUAUGAGCUUUGUGAAUUUUAACAAGUGAAUAUUACCACCAGCUCCAGGGAAAGAAAAGAAGAAAGUAAUGCAAUGGAAAUUCUACAGUCACAAGGAAAGGGAAAAUAAACAGUACACAAGAUUCAAUCACUAGCCAUCUUCUUUUUAUUCUUUUCACAUUUUCCUUUUGGUCCAUUUCUUUCUAGUCCCUACUGCAAAGGUGUAAAUGUCUGAGAGGCUGGAAUCAAUCUAUAGACUGGGGUGUUUCAUUAACAUUCAGAUGUGAGCACCAGUGAUGGUAAGUUUUCAUAAGAAGAUUGGGGUAAAUUAGCUAUCUUAAUAGCUAAUAGCUAUCUUAAUUUCAGAACAGGCUUGCACCAGAGAAGAAGUUGGAUCUACUAUUUCCAGAGGUUUGAG